rnacentral:lncRNA from 1 species
CGAGGAAGAUUUCAGCAGUGUUUCAGGCAAGGGAAAACGUCUCGCGAGCGAGACACGUGCCCUGGUCACCGAGUUUCCGGCUUCUUGUGACUCGCCGUGUGUCCUUUCUUUACAAGUUACCUUGUUCCCUAACCAAGGGUUCUGUAUAGGCAUAACAGCAAACCAUGCGGUCAUGGAUGGCAAAACGGUAGUGAAUUUUUAUAAAUCAUGGGCUCAUAUCUGUAAAUCACAAACACAUGGAAAUAUAUUAUUACCUGAUGAUUUAACUCCCAGUUUAGACCGCACGAUCAUCAAUGUCCCUGCUUAUCUUGAAGCCAAGAUGUUGGUUCUUCAAGGUGAAAGAACCCUCAAGAUCCCUCAAGCUGGAGAGAUCGGCCAUGACAUAUUCAGGAUCACGCUUGAGUUGACUCUGGAAAACGUAGAGAAACUUAGGGAGAGAGCUAAGAGCGAGUCAACUCGCUCUCAUUCUGAGCUUCACUUGUCCACGUUCGUUUUGGCUUACGCCUACAUGUGGACUUGCUUGGUGAAGACGCAUGGAGGCCAAGGGGAAAGACCGGUUCGUCUCAUGUAUGCUGCUGACUUUAGGAACCGGUUAGACCCGCCGGUUCAUGAGGGAUACUUAGGAAACUGUGUGUUCCCCAUCGGUUGCUUCGGACACAAAGCUAAGACGUUUUUGGGAGAAGAUGGAUUUGUCAAAGCUGUCGAGAUCCUCGGCGACUCGGUCAAAGGUUUGAGUUUAUUAGGGAUUGAGCAACUUUGCGAGUUGUACGUGGAUGGAAAGAAGAGAGUGAAACCGGGUACACAGCUGGGGACUAUUGCAGGUUCAAACCGGUUUGGGCUAUAUGGUUCGGAUUUCGGGUGGGGAAAACCCGUUAAUACUGAGUUCGUUUCGAUAGACAGGAAUGAAGCGUUCUCGAUGUCGGAGAGAGAUAUGUCCGGUGGUGUGCAGGUCGGUUUGUGUUUGAAGAAACAUGAGAUGCAUGUUUUUAUUUCUUUGUUUAAUGAUGGAUUGGUAAAUUAAAUAUUUUUCUGGCUUUUAUGACUUUCUCUUGUUUGAGAUCUUGUAAUGUAAUUUUUUCUUGUAAUGUACCUAUAUAUGCAAAGUGUCAAAGCAGAGAAAGUGAUAUUUUCAAAUUAAAUGAAAACUUUGAAAAUUUAUAAAAAUCCCUAUGGAAAUAGGGAUCCCAUGAAAAUAUCUCACAUAUCUGUUAAUUCAAUUCUGUUUUAAAUAAAAACUUAAUUAUAAAUUAAUUUUAUUUAAAUAUAAAUUUUACUUUUUGUUGGAAAAAUCUCUUUUGGAUUCCCAUGGAUAAGGAUGGAGAUGCUAUAAAAAGUUUACAUUCAUCAUUGCUGGAAAAAAUAAUCAAGAAGAGGUUUCAUUCAUCGGAGAUGGUGCUAAAUAUCAUCAAGAUCUCCCAUGUCAGCCCCUAUGCAGAUUCAUUAUAUGACCCACUCGUUGUCCCACUCACUUUCUUCGACCUAAAGUGGCUAAAAGAUUCUGUACAGCAAGUCGUCUUCUACAAACUCACCGAGUCAUCAUCAUCACGCAAGUUCUUCUACUCCGUGAUCAUCCCUAAACUCGAGGCAUCUCUUUCUCUUGUUCUCGGUCACUUCCUCCCCCUUGCGGGUCACGUCACUUGGAACCCGCAAGAUCCUAAGCCUUGCAUCGUCGUGUUCCCGCACGACACUGUCACGUUGACAGUGUCUGAGAGCGAGGAAGAUUUCAGCAGUGUUUCAGGCAAGGGAAAACGUCUCGCGAGCGAGACACGUGCCCUGGUCACCGAGUUUCCGGCUUCUUGUGACUCGCCGUGUGUCCUUUCUUUACAAGUUACCUUGUUCCCUAACCAAGGGUUCUGUAUAGGCAUAACAGCAAACCAUGCGGUCAUGGAUGGCAAAACGGUAGUGAAUUUUUAUAAAUCAUGGGCUCAUAUCUGUAAAUCACAAACACAUGGAAAUAUAUUAUUACCUGAUGAUUUAACUCCCAGUUCAGACCGCACGAUCAUCAAUGUCCCUGCUUAUCUUGAAGCCAAGAUGUUGGUUCUUCAAG